rnacentral:rRNA from 1 species
GACGAACGCUGGCGGCGUGCUUAACACAUGCAAGUCGAACGUAGAGCGAUGGAAGCUUGCUUCUAUCAAUCUUAGUGGCGAACGGGUGAGUAACGCGUAAUCAACCUGCCCUUCAGAGGGGGACAACAGUUGGAAACGACUGCUAAUACCGCAUACGAUCUAAUCUCGGCAUCGAGGAUAGAUGAAAGGUGGCCUCUACAUGUAAGCUAUCACUGAAGGAGGGGAUUGCGUCUGAUUAGCUAGUUGGAGGGGUAACGGCCCACCAAGGCGAUGAUCAGUAGCCGGUCUGAGAGGAUGAACGGCCACAUUGGGACUGAGACACGGCCCAGACUCCUACGGGAGGCAGCAGUGGGGAAUCUUCCGCAAUGGACGAAAGUCUGACGGAGCAACGCCGCGUGAGUGAUGA